rnacentral:tRNA from 1 species
GGCCUCGUAGCUCAGUUGCAUAGAGUAUUGGCUGUACUGAAGCCUUCCCCUUGCUGGCGUGGGUUCAAAUCUCACCGAGUCUG